CGUAGGGGGCAAGCGUUGUCCGGAAUCAUUGGGCGUAAAGCGCGUGUAGGCGGUUUGGUAAGUCCGCUCUGAAAGUCCGGGGCUCAACCCCGGAAGGCGGGUGGAUACUGUCAGACUAGAGUGCGGAAGAGGCGAGUGGAAUUCCCGGUGUAGCGGUGAAAUGCGCAGAUAUCGGGAGGAACACCAAUUGCGAAGGCAGCUCGCUGGGACGUGACUGACGCUGAGACGCGAAAGCGUGGGGAGCAGACAGGAUUAGAUACCCUGGUAGUCCACGCCGUAAACGAUGGGCACUAGGUGUGGGGGGUGUCGACUCCCUCCGUGCCGAAGCUAACGCAUUAAGUGCCCCGCCUGGGGAGUACGGCCGCAAGGCUA
rnacentral:rRNA from 1 species